AACUAAGAAACAUGCCUAUAUAAUUUAUUUAUAUACAAUUAAAAGCGUAGGGACGAAAACCGAAUUUUAACAAACAUAGAGACCAAAUUAGAAGUUCACAGCCCUUGAUUUUGCAGAAAGUUCAGUGAAGCUCACGGCGACGAAGGAAUAAGGAUAGACGUUUCAUAGUUCAUACGUUAACGCAAAAAGUUAAAAAUCAAGAUCUGGUAGACGGAUUUAUUCCGGAAACGGUGGACGGAGUUAUACCAAAAACAGCGUUUGGCACGGAAUAUUAACAAAAGUGAUGGACAGAGUUUUACUAAGAAUGGUGGUGUUGGACGGAGUUAUACUAAGAAUGGUGUUAACAUGGAGAUGCCUCUGUGGUUAUAAGCGUCGGCAAUUCAAGACUCCAUUAAAAACCCUAAUCGUGAAACGCUCUCUAGAUCUGCGAAGAUGAAGGCGUCGUCAAUUUGAAGAGAAGAAACGUCAACAUCGAUCCGUGUUAAAACCCCUAAUCGUCAACUCAUCUGUCUAGCCUGCAUAUCAAGUGAUCGAGAGGAAACCUAUUUUGUUGAGAUAUGGAACGUCUUGUGAGGAGUUUGGGGGCGAUGGUUGUCAUAGCUGCCAUAUACAUUGGCAUAUUUCAGGCUGCACUAGUGAUUCCACAGAGUUCUACGCAGAAUCUGCCCUUGAAUCUCUUUGUGUUGCUACUAUGCUGUGCCCUUUUAAAGACUGGAAUUGGUUUGAUGCAAACUUAAUUCCUCGGAUGUAACUGAAUCGUAAGGAUUCUUGAAGAAAGAAGUGGCAGAAGUAUGAUGAAAAUUUGGGAGUUUAAGGGUUUGCAACUUAAUUAGCAAGCAUGUUUAUUUUAUUGUUUUUCUGUUGUAGUACUAUUUCGUAAAUUUUAGGUUAAACUCAAAAACCUAUCUCACCCUUAGUAUCGUUUACCCGUAACAACUUCUUUACCAAUCAUAAGGUGAAAUUAAUUUAUAGUUUAGGAGUAAUAUUAGAAUUUGUGUGUUGCGUUCUACAAAAAUCAACUUAUGUAAAUAGUUGUUAAAAUGAAUUUUUUGCAUGGUUUUCAUUUCUCA